AUCCUGGGGCUGGAGUCGGUCCCAAGGGUUGGGCUGUUCGCCCAUUAAAGCGGUACGCGAGCUGGGUUUAGAACGUCGUGAGACAGUUCGGUCCCUAUCCGCUGCGCGCGUUGGAGUCUUGAGAAGGGCUGUCCCUAGUACGAGAGGACCGGGACGGACGGACCUCUGGUGUGCCAGUUGUUCUGCCAAGGGCAUGGCUGGUUGGCUACGUUCGGGAAGGAUAACCGCUGAAAGCAUCUAAGCGGGAAGCCUGCUUCGAGAUGAGGACUCCCGCCCCCUUUGAGGGGUUAAGGCUCCCUGGAGAUGACGGGGUUGAUAGGCCGGAUCUGGAAGCACGGUAACGUGUGGAGGUGACCGGUACUAAUAGGCCGAGGGCUUGUCCGUA
rnacentral:rRNA from 1 species